rnacentral:rRNA from 1 species
CUUCGGAGUUAGUGGCGGACGGGUGAGUAACACGUGGGAACGUGCCUUUAGGUUCGGAAUAACUCAGGGAAACUUGUGCUAAUACCGAAUGUGCCCUUCGGGGGAAAGAUUUAUCGCCUUUAGAGCGGCCCGCGUCUGAUUAGCUAGUUGGUGGUGUAAUGGACCACCAAGGCGACGAUCAGUAGCUGGUCUGAGAGGAUGAUCAGCCACAUUGGGACUGAGACACGGCCCAAACUCC